rnacentral:rRNA from 1 species
UACGAAGGGGACUAGCGUUGUUCGGAAUCACUGGGCGUAAAGCGCACGUAGGCGGAUUUGUAAGUCAGGGGUGAAAUUCCGGGGCUCAACCUCGGAACUGCCUUUGAUACUGCGAAUCUUGAGUCCGAUAGAGGUGGGUGGAAUUCCUAGUGUAGAGGUGAAAUUCGUAGAUAUUAGGAAGAACACCGGUGGCGAAGGCGGCCCACUGGAUCGGUACUGACGCUGAGGUGCGAAAGCGUGGGGAGCAAACAGG